CAGUAGCCGCGGGAAAACAGAGGGUGCGAGCGUUAAUCGGAUUUACUGGGCGUAAAGCGUGCGUAGGCGGCUUUUUAAGUCGGAUGUGAAAUCCCUGAGCUUAACUUAGGAAUUGCAUUCGAUACUGGGAAGCUAGAGUAUGGGAGAGGAUGGUAGAAUUCCAGGUGUAGCGGUGAAAUGCGUAGAGAUCUGGAGGAAUACCGAUGGCGAAGGCAGCCAUCUGGCCUAAUACUGACGCUGAGGUACGAAAGCAUGGGGAGCAAACAGGAUUAGAUACCCCUGUAGUCCCUGUCCUUAUACA
rnacentral:rRNA from 1 species